GUGCUCACGACGGCAGCACACAUACUAACGUUGGAACAGUACAGAGAAGGUUAGCAUGGCUCCUGUGCUAACAUGUAAAUUCAUGAAGCAUUCCAUAUUUAA